UCAGGGGCAUGUAAAGGUCACAGUGAGGGCAGCUCCAAAAAGUGCGCAGACAUUCACUGUACAGGUCCAUUGAGUCCUACAAGACAGACAGAAAAACACAGAAGACUAAGAAAACCUUAGAUGAUCAUAACUACAGGAAACAGAAAGCCCAGAGCUGAAGAACUGGAGAGAUCAGUGUUCUGCUGAGGUCCGAUGUACAGGUUCUGAGACUGCAGCCCUGUCAGACGCCUCAGACUGUAACUCACCUAAACAGACGAGCCGUCACCCUCCAGCCCCUCCUCCAGACGCAGAACUUUCCUCUUUGUGUUCUCCUGGAACUCAUGAUCACGUUUCAGCUGGUGAAGUUUCUGUCUUUCGGUUCGUCUCUCUCUGCGUUGGGCUCGGUCCUGCAGCCCUGUCCUGCUGCCGGAAUCAUCCUCGAGAAGGCUGUGAGUCCGCAGGAGCUCCUGUAGGAAACCACAAGACAGUGAAGAUAGAUUACAGGUUGACCAUCUCAUACAGCCUCUGUUCCUCCAGCCCUCUCCUCCUACACCACUUCCUGGAGCCACUUCCUCUGUCCUUCUUCACCUGUGGAAUGAAACACGUCACAUGCAAGGACUGAUCCACU